GGGGUGGCCAGACCCGAAGCUUUCCAGCAGAACUCUGCCCAAAGCGUACAGCCGCCUCCGCAGACUUCCCAUAAUGCAUUUUGGUGACAUGCGUUGCCCAGGUAAGUGAUGCACGCGCCCAGUCAUCCCACCUGAUGCUGAGGAAGACGUGGUUUAAGCCAUGGUCCCGUCGUCAGUUAAGCAUUGUUCCCUCCUUCGUCCGCUACUUAUACUUUUUGCGUCACGUCACUGCAAAUGGACGAAUUCCUAAAUGUGUGCUAAGUUAUGCUAGUCAUUCGUUUUUCAAGAUGUAUGUGCAAAUACAGCCAGCACGGGCAGUGCAGCGGUCACUUCCGGUUGGUGUCGCGCGUCAGCAACUUCACCUUGAUAAAGUUCGAGCCUUCUCAGAGGAAUCCUGCAAAUCUCCUGCAUGGCACAGUGUGGACUGAAGGGGAGUUAGGACUCAAGAAGUCAAGAGAAAACCUGCGAGGCUCAUUAUGAUUCACUUAUCCAGUUGUAAACGAGGAGUCAUGGACGUCUGCUCCUUUGGGAAUCUCCAGCCCUUUGAAAAGAAAAUAGAGGUUAAAAAUCUGCUAAACGAGUUUGUAGCAACCAGGAUUCUUCUCUUCCACAGGGUUACAGGUAUGCUGGAGUCUACAGUACACCAUACCCAGUCACCAGACCAGCACGGGGCCACAAGCACAGACAAACAACCACUCACUCUCCCACUCACCUCUGGGCAAUUUGGAAUCACCAAUCAACCCAACUGCAUGUCUUUGGAGUGUGGGAGGAAACCCGAAGUACCCAGAGAAAAAACACGCUACCCUUCUUGCUGUGAGGUAACCACUACACUGUCACACCUGUACGGCUGAUGCCUUAAAUGGUUAAUUUUAAUGAAAGGUAGCUGUUUGGAACGGAAGGCACUUAGUUCAUUAAAUAGUAAACACUGCUAAAGAAUGUGCUAUGUACAUUUAUUUCCUUUAAACUUUAAUAACAAGUUUAUUACCUUGUUCCCAAUAGUGUUUAGAUCUUUUACAUUUAGCCAACAAUAAAGAGGUAAAUUGUUAGUGACA
rnacentral:lncRNA from 1 species